AAGGGGCUCCGGAGCGUGGAGGGGGGUUGCGGCGCUGAGAGCUGCUUCACAGUCUGCGGAGUGAAGCCGCGCUGCUGCUGCCGGUGAGCGCUGAUCCUUUUUCCUGUUAAAAUACGGAUUCGGACGAAAAGCAACUUACUCGUGAGUAAAGACUGAAUCACUUGAAAUUAGAGACUUUAAAUGAAAAACCUUAAAUUGGCUUGAACUUGGCUGAAAGCGGAGAGACGUGGAAACAGGAAGUCCGUCUUCCGCAGCCAUUGAACUUGAAAAAGCAACUAAGUUGGAGGAGUGGAGGCUGAAAGAAAGAGAUUUUAAACUUUACAGAUCUAAGCAUCUAUUGAACUUGCAAUUUAAAGUAAAGACUUUAAGCUAAAGAUUCGGAAUUUUAACUUGCACUUGACUUUCCUCCUUUUAUUGGAUUACAAAUUAGAAGGUGAAACCCAGAGUCAGGAGCUGCCUGAGCAUUGAGAGAUUGAGCUGUCAGUAUUGCAGAUUUGGAUACUGUAUAUUGGAACUUGCAACAAUCUGAGGGUAUUGAGACUUUUUAAAUUUGAAACAUUCUUUUUGGAGAUAAAUAAGCACUGUCUGUAACAAAGUGACUACUUAUAAACUCUGCUAAAUAUUUAUAUCUGAAGGUUCUUGGACAUUAAAUUAGACUCUGAAAGACAUUUUAAGCUCCCUCUAGAGGAUUGGAUUAAAACAGUGACUUUACAUCUACAUUUACUUUCGAUUCCCUUGUUGUUUGCUUGCUCUGGGCCUUUCUAUUCCCAUGGGAAAAACUCAGUGUGACCUUGACUGAUAGACAACGUUGGAAUGAGUGGCACAAGGAAAAGAGGGAGAGUUAGACAAACAACUUUAACAACUCUAACCUCAGCCUCGCAGACACGUAGAUCAUCUGUACCUACUUUGCCCUCAGAAGUAGAACUUGAAGAAGUUGCCUUGCCACAGGCAAAAGAGGGAGAGGGUGAAGCAGAGCAGUUACAAUUGGAAGAUAUGGCCUCAGGAGCAUCUGUUUCUGUUCUAGACAAAAUCUUUGAAAAAUUGGAAGCUUUGGACAAGAAAGUAGAUGCGCAAUCAGCAAAGAUUGACAAAAAUACAGAAUGUCUAAAUAAAUUAACCAUACAAGUGGUACAGAAUACACAAGCAAUUGGACAGUUAACGGAGGCCUCAGCAGAAAAUCGGAAAUUGGCUGAGGAUACUAGACAAAAAUUGGAAAAUUUAGAGCAAGAGGUAAGACCACUCACUAAACAAGUUGGGGAACAUCAGACUUAUCUUUCCAUGAUAGAACUGCGAAAUCGUGAGAAUAAUUUGAGGAUUAGAUCAUUACAAGAGGCAGAAGAAGGAAAUUUAACUGAGUUUUUGACUAAAGAAUUUUCCAAGUUCUGGAAUUUGGAAGAAAAGGAUUUUAAAAUUGUGUCGGCUUUCAGACUUGGAAGAUUCACAAAGAAGGAGAGGCCCAGAGACUGUUUGAUUACAUUGAGAUCAAAGGAGGAAAGGGAUAAGAUUUUGGGCCUACAUUACGGAAAGUCACUGGAGGUUUUGGACAGAAGAAUUGAAAUUUAUAAAGAUAUUCCAAGACAACUGCUGGAUCUUAGAGCCGCCUAUUCUGAACUUGCUAAACUACUAAGGAGCAACGCAAUUCCAUUCAGGUGGGAAUUUCCCCAAGGAAUAUCUUUUACCUUUAAAGGGAGAAAGGUCAAAGUUAGAACAUUGGAAGAGAGAGACAAAUUUUUGGCUACAUACGGAGAGGACCUUCAAAAAGGAAUUGAAUUACCUUCUGGGCCUGGGGCAAAGCCAGCAUUAACACCAGCACCUGGGGAACCUGAAGAUCCAGAGAAGAUACCACCCCUGGAGAAAUAACCAGAUAGAUCCAGGAUGUCUCUGCAAUUGCUGAGUUGGAACAUUAAUGGUUGUAACAUUCCGGAAAAAAGGAAGAAAAUAUUUCAUAUAUUAAAACAGCACAAUUGGACAUUAUCUGUUUACAAGAAACACAUGUGACGAGGCUCCACAGAAAAGUGUUAAUAAAUAAAAGAUUGGGCCAGGAAUUUGUUUCGUCGGACAAAGUUAAGAAGAGAGGCGUGGUGAUAUAUGCAAAAGAGAGCCUGUCACCUAAAUUCUUAUUUAAAGAUGAACAUGGAAGAAUUUUGGCCAUUGAGAUACAAUAUCAAGGAGAGAAACUGUUGAUAUUAGGAAUCUAUGCACCUAAUGAAGGGAAAUCGGAAUUUUACAAGAAGCUGCAGGGGACAAUGCUGGACUAUCUGGAUUACAACAACAUCAUAAUGAUGGGAGAUAUGAACGGGGUCGUGUCAACUAACAUGGACAAGUCACAAAGUCAAAAUGUUACAAAAGACGGCAGACUACCUAAAACCUUUUUGAAAUGACUGACAAUAUGGAUUUGAUUGACAUUUGGAGGACAAAGAACCCACUAGGUAGAGAAGGAACAUUCUUUUCUGAAGCCCAACUGACCUGGACAAGAAUCGACCAAAUAUGGAUUUCUAGAGGCCUGGCACCUAAGGUCAGAAAAGUGGAAAUCUGCCCAAAGACCUGCUCUGACCAUAAUGCAGUAAAGAUGGAUAUGACACUACUACCAACUGGAUCCUUUAGAUGGAAGAUGAAUGACAAUUUGUUUAGAGAUCAGGAAAUUACCAAGAAGGCCCAAAAAGUUUUGAAGGACUAUUUUGAGAUAAACAUGAACAAUUCGGUGGAAAAAAGAAUCGUCUGGGACGCAAGCAAAGCUGUAAUGAGGGGAUUCUUGAUACAACAGAAUGUAGUAAAGAAAAGAACACAAAAUGAGAAAAAAGAUAAGAUCUUGG